CCCAUUUUUCAGGAAGGUCCUGAACAGAAAGUAAAAUCUCAAUUUUCAGGAGGGUCCUGAACAUAAAGUAAAAUCUCAUUUUUCAGGAGGGUCCUGAACAGAAAGUAAAAUCCCAUUUUUCAGGAGGGUCCUGAACAUAAAGUAAAAUCCCAUUUUUCAGGAGGGUCCUGAACAUAAAGUAAAAUCCCAUUUUUCAGGAGGGUCCUGAACAUAAAGUAAAAUCCCAUUUUUCAGGA
rnacentral:lncRNA from 1 species